rnacentral:lncRNA from 1 species
GGCCAACAUGGUGAAACCCCGUCUCUACUAAAAAUACAAAAAUUAUCAGGGCAUGGUGGCACGUGGCUGUAAUCUCAGCUACUUGGGAAGCUGAAGGAGGAGAAUUGCUUGAACUGGGACUCGGGAGGCGGAGGUUGCAGUGAGCCGAGAUCGCACCACUGCACUCCAGCCUGGGCUGCAGAGCGAGACUCCAUCUCAAAAAUAAAUAAAUAAAUAAAAGAAAUAAAUAAAAAAUAAAGAAAAAAAAGAAAUGACAUCACAAAAAAGGGCUGGCUCCUCAUAAAGCAGUCUUCACACACAGAAUGUAUGCUGUGUGACCAGGAAUUUGUAGCAGCUGAGAAACCAUAGUUGUUCAUAAGAAAAAAAAAAAAAUUAGAAG